UACGUAGGGUGCAAGCGUUGUCCGGAAUUAUUGGGCGUAAAGAGCUCGUAGGCGGUUUGUUGCGUCGGCUGUGAAAUCCCGAGGCUCAACCUCGGGUCUGCAGUCGAUACGAGCAAACUAGAGUGUUGCAGGGGAGACUGGAAUUCCUGGUGUAGCGGUGAAAUGCGCAGAUAUCAGGAGGAACACCGAUGGCGAAGGCAGCUCGCUGGGACGGUACUGACGC
rnacentral:rRNA from 1 species